GCGGCCGUGGUCCAGCCUGGCAAGAUAUCAGCCCCCCGAGCUGAAGACCCGGGUUCGAAUCCCGGCGGCCGCA
rnacentral:tRNA from 1 species